UAAUACUGGAUAGGCAAUUUUUCCUGUAAUGGUUUUUUGUUUAAAUGUUUUUUCGCCUAAGGAUGGGUCUGCGGCCGAUUAGGUAGUUGGUUAGGUAAUGGCUUACCAAGCCGUUGAUCGGUACGGGUUGUGAGAGCAAGAGCCCGGAGAUGGAACCUGAGACAAGGUUCCAGGCCCUACGGGGUGCAGCAGGCGCGAAACCUCCGCAAUGUGAGAAAUCGCGACGGGGGGAUCCCAAGUGCCAUUCUUAACGGGAUGGCUUUUCAUUAGUGUAAAGAGCUUUUGGAAUAAGGGCUGGGCAAGACCGGUGCCAGCCGCCGCGGUAACACCGGCAGCUCUAGUGGUAGCAGUUUUUAUUGGGCCUAAAGCGUCCGUAGCCGGUUUAAUAAGUCUCUGGUGAAAUCCUGUAGCUUAACUGUGGGAAUUGCUGGAGAUACUAUUAGACUUGAGACCGGGAGAGGUUAGAGGUACUCCCAGGGUAGAGGUGAAAUUCUGUAAUCCUGGGAGGACCGCCUGUUGCGAAGGCGUCUAACUGGAACGGUUCUGACGGUGAGGGACGAAAGUUAGGGGCGCGAACCGGAUUAGAUACCCGGGUAGUCCUAACUGUAAACGAUGCGGACUUGGUGUUG
rnacentral:rRNA from 1 species